rnacentral:rRNA from 1 species
GACGAACGCUGGCGGCGUGCUUAACACAUGCAAGUCGAACGGUGAAGCCCUUCGGGGUGGAUCAGUGGCGAACGGGUGAGUAACACGUGAGCAACCUGCCCCUGGCUCUGGGACAACCACUGGAAACGGUGGCUAAUACCGGAUACGACCCGCCUCGGCAUCGAGUGUGGGUGGAAAGUUUUUCGGCUGGGGAUGGGCUCGCGGCCUAUCAGCUUGUUGGUGAGGUGAAGGCUCACCAAGGCGACGACGGGUAGCCGGCCUGAGAGGGCGACCGGCCACACUGGGACUGAGACACGGCCCAGACUCCUACGGGAGGCAGCAGUGGGGAAUAUUGCACAAUGGGCGAAAGCCUGAUGCAGCGACGCCGCGUGAGGGAUGACGGCCUUCGGGUUGUAAACCUCUUUCAGCUCCGAAGAAGCGAAAGUGACGGUAGGAGCAGAAGAAGCAGCGGCUAACUACGUG